GGUCAAUCAAGAUAGUUGGACAUCACUAGCCUUUGUCCUUUCAUAUCCACCGCCCUGCUUUUAUGAUAGCAUUUCCCAAUGAAAUCUUUUAUCUACCAAUAUCCUCUUAAAAUCUUCUUGAAUUUUCUUCGUCUGACUCUCUUGAUCUCAGUCUCUCCCUCUUCUGAUGAGUAUACCUUAGAUGCAGUCCCAAUAGUCGUCCUUCUUCUUUUCACAACAUUUCUUUAUCAAAAAAUGGGCAUUCUUGAAUCUCCUUUGUCUGGUUCUCUUGACCUCCGUGGCUCCCUCUCCUGAUGAAUAUGCAUUGGAUGCAGCCCCAACAGAAUAUUCAAUCCCAUUGUAAUACCUGACUUAAAGGCCACAAUCUCCCCCUCCGUAUUGCAAACAACUACACCCAAAGCAGAUUUGGAGGUUCUCCUAUCAAAAGCCGCAUCAAAAUAAACUAUCACCCUCGUGCUUCUUUCCAUCUGCUUAUGACCUCUGUCAAUAUUAACCAUAGCCCACCGCAAAAAAGGCGACACUGGUCUCUGUUUCCCUGCCUAAAAACCCAAAUAAGCCACUCCCACAAGCUUUGAAUGUUAUUAUUCUAUACCCAUGCAAAAUCUAAAUUUGAGCAUACUUCUGUUGUUGUAGGACAGUACCUAAAAAUGUGGUUACUAUCUUCAUCGGAAGUGUGACAUCGGGGACAAAGAGUUUCAGCUGCAACUUUUUUAAUCUUUAGAUUAGAUAGAGUAGGAAUAUAAUUCCAAGAAAUUCUCCAAAUUUUAAUUUUAAUUUUUGGAGGGAUUUGUAAAUUCCAUAAUUUUCUAUAGAAGUUUCUAAUCUCGGUCUAUAUAAAACUAUUAUUAGGACCCGAAUUAGUCCCUUGUAAUAGUUUAUAGGCACUUCUGACUGAAUACUCGCCUGACGGUUCUCCUCUCCAUACUUUGGAAGUCCUCGUAGAUUAUCUCUGCCAAGGGGAUCUGCAGAAUUUUCUUAGCAGUAUCCUCAUUGAAGGUACUUAAAACUAAAUCUGUAUUCCACUUUCUAUUAUUAGCAUCUAUCAAAUCUAAUUCUAACUUAAUAUUCUCAUUGGUGGUUUCAUUAUGCAAUCUAUCAUUUUCAGCUUCCGAAAUCCAUAAAUCAUCCCAAACAGAGAUGCGAUCCCCUGUUCCUAUCCUCCAGCAUAAUCCUUUCUCCAAAAUCCCUUUAGCUACCCAAACACUCUUCCAAGUAAGCGAAGGUAAAUUCCCCAAUUCAGCAUUGAUAAAAUUCGAAUUUGGAUAAUAUUUUGCUUUUAAAACACUACUUAGUAAAGAAUUAGGAAAAUUGACAAGACACCAACCUUGUUUUGUUAAUAAUAAAUUUAUCGAGAUUACGAAAGCCUAAACCACCAUCUUCUUUCAAAGAGCAUAAAUAUUUCACGUGCACAAGUGAAUACCUUUUUUAUCUCGAUUUUUAUGCCACUAAUACCUUGCCAAAAUGCCUUCUAGUUCAGCACAUAAAGACUUAGGGAUUAGGAAACAUGCCAUCGUUUAGGUUGGAAUAGCUUGAAUAAUAGCUUUUAUAAACACGUCUUUCCCCCCUUGAGAUAGAUGUUUUACACUCCAGUUAUCAAUCUGUUUGUUUCAUUCUAUCCUUCAAGAUUUGAAAUGAGAUUUUAUUCUUUCUUCCUACUAUAUUUGGCAGACCAAGAUACCUUUCCGGAUUAUUAGAACUACGCACUUCAAGAACCUUAGAUAUAAUUGUUUUAUCCCCUUCCUGUGUAUUAGUACUAAAGAAUACUGUAGAUUUGUAAUAGUUGACACACUGUCCAAAACAAUUCUCGUAUUCAAUCAAAAUCUGUUUAAAUGAAUGAGCUCCUCUCUCUGUAGCUUCUCCAAAUAAAAUAUAACCAUCCGCAAAUAACAAGUGGGAAAUCUGUGGCCCACUUCUACUUGCCUUAACCCCUCUAAGUAUGUUCCCUUGCAUAGCAAGUCUCAUAAGACUGGAAAGACCUUCCUCACAAAUUAAAAAUAGGAACGGACUCAAAGGGUCACCCUGUCUUAGUCCUUUUGUGGGUUGAAAAUUCUCUUCAAUAUGACCAUUGAAAACCACCGAAUACGAAACUAUGGAAACACAUUUCAUUAGAGACUCAACUUACCCUGAAUCAAAACCCAUGCGCUUUAUAAUUUCUGUGAUAAAAUUCCAUUCAACUCUAUCAUAAGCUUUACUCAUAUCCAACUUUACUGCCAUGUAGCCUUUUUUCCCUCUUCUUCUUCUGUUUUAAAGUAUGUAGGAUUUCAUAAGCCAGUAACACAUUAUCAGAAAUUAACCUCCCCGGUACGGAAGCGCUUUGAGCUAGGUCAAUACAUUUAUCAACGACUACACGAAGAUAAUUUGCAAUGACCUUAGACAUCAACUUAUAAAUCACAUUACAUAGGCUUAUGAACCGAAAAUAAGUAAUAUUUGAAGGAUUUUGAAUUUUUGGGAUCAACACUAUAUUAGUUUUAUUAAUUAAACUAAUGUCUAUACCUCCAUUUAGAUGUUGUAUAGAAAAUGAAGACACAUCCUCCCCAACAAUUAACUAGCACUUCUGAUAAAAUAAAGCCGAGAACCCAUCUUCUCCUGGUGCUUUUGUUGGGCCCAAUUCUGAUAAAGCCACUCGAAUUUCCUCAUUUGUGUAUCUCACUGUCAAUCUAGAAUUAUCCUCUUCAAAAAUACAACAAUCAAUUCCUGUCAACAGAUGUUCAUAAUUUCCCCUCAUCCCAGCUAAAAACAAAUUCUGGAAAUAAGAUUUAGCAGUUCCUUCCAUUUUAAGAAUCUCUUAUGUUUCUCUACCAUCUUCAAAUUGCAUUUUCCGAAUGAUGUUCCUUCUUAGUCGUUGAGUCGUAUGUUUAUGAAAAAAAGGUAGUAUUCUUGUCUCCAAAUUGCAACAAAUUAACUCGGGCCCUCUACUCCUAAUAUCGUUCAUCCUUGUCAAUCUCAAAAUUAAGUUGGAUCUUCAUAUCAAUAAGUUCUGCCAAGUUUUCAUCAUCCAUGUCAGGUUCCAUCAAUUCGACCAAUCUAUCAGUUAACCUCUCCUUUUUUAUCUUUCUACUGUGUUGAAUUUGAUUCGCCCAUCUAUCCAAACCUUUUCUUAUUUUUUCCAAUUUUUCUAUCAAGUCUCCAGUUGAAUUGUCCCAUAUAUAUCGUACCUCCUCAAUAAAUGAUUUCUCUAAUAGCCACCAAGCUUUGAAUUUGAAACUUCUUUUAGGCCGCUCAUUAUCUUUUCUUUUCGUCGUGAUAAGAAGUAGGUAAUGAUCUGAAAAAGAAUGUGGAAGAUGUUGAAUUAUUACCUCAGGAAAUAUAGACAACCAAUCUGAGUUAAACAUUUGUAAAUUUUUCAAAUAAUAGCCCAUUAAAAAUUACCCCAAACAACAACAAUAAUUUUAUUUGAGCCUUUUGCAUCUUAAGUGUAAGAGAAAUUUAGUUUUUUUCAUUAAGCAUUUUGUAUUUUUUAUAAACUUAAAAUAAUAUUUCAAAUAAUAGUCAAGUAAUAUAGUAAACGACGAGUAUUGAUUUUUUAAUAUUUUAAUGUUGUUGAUGGGAGAUUAGACUCUUUAUUGGAAGAAGUUUUCAUAGUGUUAUCUAUUUAUGACCAACGAAUCUCUUAAUGAAAAUUAUUAUUCUUGUGUCGAAA